AUGAAUUCUAAUGGGCAAAAGAGAACUCGGGAGAAGGAACUCGGCAAAUUAGUGCCGCAGCUACGGGAUAAGGCACUCCCCUGGGGCUAGACUGGCCUGCGCCAGAAGGGUGAAGGGGUUGAAAUAAACUGGAAUUGACGACUGCUUAAUGAAAACACAGCACUCAGCAAACGCGAAAGUGGACGUACCAGGUCUGACACCUGCCCGGUGCCGGAAGAUUAAAUGAUGGGGUGCAAGCUCUUGAUUGAAGUCCCGGUAAACGGCGGCCGUAACUAUAACGGUCCUAAGGUAGCGAAAUUCCUUGUCGGGUAAGUUCCGACCUGCACGAAUGGCGUAACGAUGGCCACACUGUCUCCUCCCGAGACUCAGGGAAGUUGAAGUGUUUGCGAUGUGACAAUCUCCCCGCGGCUAGACGGAAAGACCCCACGAACCUUUACUAUAGCUUUGCAUUGGACUUUGAACCGAUCUGUGUAGGAUAGGUGGGAGGCAAUGAAACCGGAACGCUAGUUUCGGUGGAGCCGUCCUUGAAAUACCACCCUGGUUUGUUUGAGGUUCUAACCUUGGCCCGUGAUCCGGGUCGGGGACAGUGCAUGGUAGGCAGUUUGACUGGGGCGGUCUCCUCCCAAAGUGUAACGGAGGAGUACGAAGGUACGCUAGGUACGCUCGGAAAUCGUGCUGAUAGUGCAAUGGCAUAAGCGUGCUUAACUGCGAGACCGACAAGUCGAGCAGGUGCGAAACCAGGUCAUAGUGAUCCGGUGGUGCGGUAUGGAAGGGCCGUCGCUCAACGGAUAAAAGGUACUCUGGGGAUAACAGGCUGAUACCGCCCAAGAGUUCAUAUCGACGGCGGUGUUUGGCACCUCGAUGUCGGCUCAUCUCAUCCUGGGGCUGUAGCCGGUCCCAAGGGUAUGGCUGUUCGCCUUUAAAAGGUAUACGUGAGCUGGGUUUAAAAC
rnacentral:rRNA from 1 species